rnacentral:rRNA from 1 species
GAUGAACGCUAGCGGCAGGCUUAAUACAUGCAAGUCGUGGGGCAGCAUGAAUGUAGCAAUACAUUUGAUGGCGACCGGCAAACGGGUGCGGAACACGUACACAACCUUCCUAUAAGUGGGGAAUAGCCCAGAGAAAUUUGGAUUAAUACCCCGUAACAUAACGAUGUGGCAUCACAUUGUUAUUAUAGCUUCGGCGCUUAUUGAUGGGUGUGCGGCUGAUUAGAUAGUUGGCGGGGUAACGGCCCACCAAGUCUACGAUCAGUAGCUGAUGUGAGAGCAUGAUCAGCCACACGGGCACUGAGACACGGGCCCGACUCCUACGGGAGGCAGCAGUAAGGAAUAUUGGUCAAUGGACGCAAGUCUGAACCAGCCAUGCCGCGUGAAGGAUUAAGGUCCUCUGGAUUGUAAACUUCUUUUAUCUGGGACGAAAAAAGGCGAUUCUUCGUCACUUGACGGUACAGAUGAAUAAGCACCGGCUAACUCCGUGCCAGCCGCCGCAGUAAAAC